UUGUCAAAGGAGAUCAAGAGAAGGCAAGAGAAGCCUGUUGGCAUGCAGCUCCCUCCAAAAUUGGCCAAUGCUCUUGGGUACCUAGCCUGAAGGGGUCUAGGGACUAAAUGCACAAGUCAGUCUCUGGAAGAGGCCAAAAACUUCCCCAAGUAUGCCUGGGAGGAGGAACGGGUAGCUACUGGGCAUGCACGUAAUUGCCAAUUUGACUGAAAUUGAGGUAGCGACCCCGGACGGGUACGCUGCUGUAGUCCAGGAGUAAGGCAGGGAGGCAAAACUUUUUGCUAAGUGUAAUGUGGUGGAGGCAAGGGAGCUCCCGGGCAUGUAAACCCUCCAAAGUAGCCUUAAUUGCCUGUUGCCUGUCCUGGAGAUAUCCCUAGAUAUAUGCGAGUUUGAUAUGCAGAGAGAAAAAAUGUGUGUUGGCAGAAGGAAAAACCUUUUGCAGAAGCAUGCCGAGGUGAGAAGGCAAGGGUAGCUACCAGGCAUACGCUUAGCAGGAAAGUUGGCCAGACUUGUGGCGUCCCUGCCCUGAAGGGCUUUGCAGGUACCCAGAGCUAAAUCUGUGUCAGCAAGAAGCCCAAACAUUUGCAGAAGCUUCGUGGAGGAAGCAAUGGUGGCUUGCAGGCAUGCAGCUAGCUGGAAAGGAGAGGCAAACUUGGCAGAAAGCUAACGUGGAGGGGUCCUGGGCUGGCAUUGGCAAGCAAUUCUGCAUGUGGAGCUAGCCCGGAAGAUUUGGAAAAUGUGAUCAGCGAGGAAAAGCGAAGGUACCCUGGCAGGUACCUCUCUCCAGAAUUGGGCCAAGAUCUCAGGUAGCUCCCCUGAAGCAAUCUGCUGACAGGAUGCCAAAGUCAAUCUGGUGUGGACGUAGGCACAAACUUUUGUCAAAGGAGAUCAAGAGAAGGCAAGAGAAGCCUGUUGGCAUGCAGCUCCCUCCAAAAUUGGCCAAUGCUCUUGGGUACCUAGCCUGAAGGGGUCUGAGGACUAAAUGCACAAGUCAGUCUCUGGAAGAGGCCAAAAACUUUUCAAGUAUGCCUGGGAGGAGGAACGGGUAGCUACUGGGCAUGCACGUAAUUGCCAAUUUGACUGAAAUUGAGGUAGCGACCCCGGACGGGUACGCUGCUGUAGUCCAGGAGUAAGGCAGGGAGGCAAAACUUUUUGCUAAGUGUAAUGUGGUGGAGGCAAGGGAGCUCCCGGGCAUGUAAACCCUCCAAAGUAGCCUUAAUUGCCUGUUGCCUGUCCUGGAGAUAUCCCUAGAUAUAUGCGAGUUUGAUAUGCAGAGAGAAAAAAUGUGUGUUGGCAGAAGGAAAAACCUUUUGCAGAAGCAUGCCGAGGUGAGAAGGCAAGGGUAGCUACCAGGCAUACGCUUAGCAGGAAAGUUGGCCAGACUUGUGGCGUCCCUGCCCUGAAGGGCUUUGCAGGUACCCAGAGCUAAAUCUGUGUCAGCAAGAAGCCCAAACAUUUGCAGAAGCUUCGUGGAGGAAGCAAUGGUGGCUUGCAGGCAUGCAGCUAGCUGGAAAGGAGAGGCAAACUUGGCAGAAAGCUAACGUGGAGGGGUCCUGGGCUGGCAUUGGCAAGCAAUUCUGCAUGUGGAGCUAGCCCGGAAGAUUUGGAAAAUGUGAUCAGCGAGGAAAAGCGAAGGUACCCUGGCAGGUACCUCUCUCCAGAAUUGGGCCAAGAUCUCAGGUAGCUCCCCUGAAGCAAUCUGCUGACAGGACGCCAAAGUCAAUCUGCGUGUGGACGUAGGCACAAACUUUUGUCAAAGGAGAUCAAGAGAAGGCAAGAGAAGCCUGUUGGCAUGCAGCUCCCUCCAAAAUUGGCCAAUGCUCUUGGGUACCUAGCCUGAAGGGGUCUAGGGACUAAAUGCACAAGUCAGUCUCUGGAAGAGGCCAAAAACUUCCCCAAGUAUGCCUGGGAGGAGGAACGGGUAGCUACUGGGCAUGCACGUAAUUGCCAA